CACGUAGGGUGCGAGCGUUGUCCGGAAUUAUUGGGCGUAAAGAGCUCGUAGGCGGUGUGUCGCGUCGGCCGUGAAAACCUGCAGCUUAACUGUGGGCUUGCGGUCGAUACGGGCAUCACUGGAGUUCGGCAGGGGAGACUGGAAUUCCUGGUGUAGCGGUGAAAUGCGCAGAUAUCAGGAGGAACACCGGUGGCGAAGGCGGGUCUCUGGGACGUGACUGAC
rnacentral:rRNA from 1 species